rnacentral:rRNA from 1 species
AACCGAGUCUUAACUGGGCGUUAAGUUGCAGGGUAUAGACCCGAAACCCGGUGAUCUAGCCAUGGGCAGGUUGAAGGUUGGGUAACACUAACUGGAGGACCGAACCGACUAAUGUUGAAAAAUUAGCGGAUGACUUGUGGCUGGGGGUGAAAGGCCAAUCAAACCGGGAGAUAGCUGGUUCUCCCCGAAAGCUAUUUAGGUAGCGCCUCGUGAAUUCAUCUUCGGGGGUAGAGCACUGUUUCGGCUAGGGGGUCAUCCCGACUUACCAACCCGAUGCAAACUACGAAUACCGAAGAAUGUUAUCACGGGAGACACACGGCGGGUGCUAACGUCCGUCGUGAAGAGGGAAACAACCCAGACCGCCAGCUAAGGUCCCAAAGUCAUGGUUAAGUGGGAAACGAUGUGGGAAGGCACAGACAGCCAGGAUGUUGGCUUAGAAGCAGCCAUCAUUUAAAGAAAGCGUAAUAGCUCACUGGUCGAGUCGGCCUGCGCGGAAGAUGUAACGGGGCUAAACCAUGCACCGAAGCUGCGGCAGCGACACUAUGUGUUGUUGGGUAGGGGAGCGUUCUGUAAGCCUGCGAAGGUGUGCUGUGAGGCAUGCUGGAGGUAUCAGAAGUGCGAAUGCUGACAUAAGUAACGAUAAAGCGGGUGAAAAGCCCGCUCGCCGGAAGACCAAGGGUUCCCGUCCAACGUUAAUCGGGGCAGGGUGAGUCGACCCCUAAGGCGAGGCCGAAAGGCGUAGUCGAUGGGAAACAGGUUAAUAUUCCUGUACUUGGUGUUACUGCGAAGGGGGGACGGAGAAGGCUAUGUUAGCCGGGCGACGGUUGUCCCGGUUUAAGCAUGUAGGCUGGUUGUCCAGGCAAAUCCGGAUAAUCAAGGCUGAGGUGUGAUGACGAGGCACUACGGUGCUGAAGUAACAAAUGCCCUGCUUCCAGGAAAAGCCUCUAAGCAUCAGGUAACAUCAAAUCGUACCCCAAACCGACACAGGUGGUCAGGUAGAGAAUACCAAGGCGCUUGAGAGAACUCGGGUGAAGGAACUAGGCAAAAUGGUGCCGUAACUUCGGGAGAAGGCACGCUGGUGUGUAGGUGAAGUCCCUGCGGAUGGAGCUGAGACCAGUCGAAGAUACCAGCUGGCUGCAACUGUUUAUUAAAAACACAGCACUGUGCAAACACGAAAGUGGACGUAUACGGUGUGACGCCUGCCCGGUGCCGGAAGGUUAAUUGAUGGGGUUAUCCGUAAGGAGAAGCUCUUGAUCGAAGCCCCGGUAAACGGCGGCCGUAACUAUAACGGUCCUAAGGUAGCGAAAUUCCUUGUCGGGUAAGUUCCGACCUGCACGAAUGGCGUAAUGAUGGCCAGGCUGUCUCCACCCGAGACUCAGUGAAAUUGAACUCGCUGUGAAGAUGCAGUGUACCCGCGGCAAGACGGAAAGACCCCGUGAACCUUUACUAUAGCUUGACACUGAACAUUGAGCCUUGAUGUGUAGGAUAGGUGGGAGGCUUUGAAGCGUGGACGCCAGUCUGCGUGGAGCCAACCUUGAAAUACCACCCUUUAAUGUUUGAUGUUCUAACGUUGGCCCCUCACCGGGGUUGCGGACAGUGUCUGGUGGGUAGUUUGACUGGGGCGGUCUCCUCCCAAAGCGUAACGGAGGAGCACGAAGGUUAGCUAAUCCUGGUCGGACAUCAGGAGGUUAGUGCAAUGGCAUAAGCUAGCUUGACUGCGAGCGUGACGGCGCGAGCAGGUGCGAAAGCAGGUCAUAGUGAUCCGGUGGUUCUGAAUGGAAGGGCCAUCGCUCAACGGAUAAAAGGUACUCCGGGGAUAACAGGCUGAUACCGCCCAAGAGUUCAUAUCGACGGCGGUGUUUGGCACCUCGAUGUCGGCUCAUCACAUCCUGGGGCUGAAGUAGGUCCCAAGGGUAUGGCUGUUCGCCAUUUAAAGUGGUACGCGAGCUGGGUUUAGAACGUCGUGAGACAGUUCGGUCCCUAUCUGCCGUGGGCGCUGGAGAAUUGAGGGGGGCUGCUCCUAGUACGAGAGGACCGGAGUGGACGCAUCACUGGUGUUCGGGUUGUCAUGCCAAUGGCACUGCCCGGUAGCUAAAUGCGGAAGAGAUAAGUGCUGAAAGCAUCUAAGCACGAAACUUGCCCCGAGAUGAGUUCUCCCUGAGACUUUAAGUCUCCUGAAGGAACGUUGAAGACGACGACGUUGAUAGGCCGGGUGUGUAAGCGCAGCGAUGCGUUGAGCUAACCGGUACUAAUGAACCGUGAGGCUUAACCUU